CAGUGAACCAGGAAAAAGGAGGGCAUUUGGGUCUCCCCUGGGAACGAAUCUACCCCUUAAUGCUGCUGCUUGGACGUGAUGGGUGUCGCAUGGCCCAGCCUAAUGUCCAUGGGCCUGGCAGUGUUCCGACAAUAUAGGGGGGACUCUUGCCUUAAGGGAAGGUCCUGGAACUCUCAUGACUGUGGACUGGUGUGGGAACUCCUCUUACAGCAAAGUA
rnacentral:lncRNA from 10 species